UGAAAUGCCUUGGGCAAGAGAAUGCAACAAAAACAAGGUUAUGCUGGCUCCAGACUCCAAUGAAGGCCCUGCUUGCUUCUGCUUUUUCUCGUGGGAUCCUAUAGGGCCACGUGUGAACUACUCAGGCCCGUCUCCUGCAUUUGGACAUUCACAUGGCCCAGCUACCUCAGUUUCCCUGGCUGACUAGCUGGUUAGCUGAUUGCAAACCAGCCUCAGAAGAAGCUGUGGCUUGCUCUAGCACUGAUUCUCAGAGAUAUGGGACCCCACAACUUCCGGCUGGACCCUAAAAUUAAAAUAACCAGAAAAGAUAAAUAUUUAAAACUGAUUCAGGACAUGAAGGCCACAACGGGGCAACUAAAGACAUUCGUGGAGAAAGACUUUUGGGAUUCUUUCAGAAAGUGAGGGGAAGACGUGUGCCACUUGGUCUCCAGGAUGAACUCGUCACGCUGGCUUCCUGGCAGAAAUCCAGAUAACUGCAGAGAAUCAAAGUCUGUAAUAAAGAAGGGACGAUAUGGAGGGACAGGGGCCCUGGAUCAAUCAGCUUUUGCUAAAAUCUCUGCGUAUUGAAACAGCCUGCAUUGCAAAGGUUUCCUGUGUUAGCUGUUCCUCCCUUUACGUCUUGAAUGGAUACCUACCACCAUUUAUUUGCCCUCUGCCUUUCAAGGUGCAUGCUAUUUCCCAAGGGAAGUGAGAAAGCCCUGCCUUACUGUAGCAUCUUUUGUUCUCUUAAGAAGCAAGACAAAAAAAAAAAAAAAAAGAAGACAGCUACCUGAGAAUUUUCUCCUAAUCUGGGCGUGUUAAUUUCUAGAUCAAAGACACAACUCGUACACUGAAUGUCCUUUCAGUAAUAACCUCAGGAUAUCCUUCAUCAAGAUCCAAGGAUGGGUCACAUUUCUCUUAAAUUCUGUGCAUUUCUUGACUGAAUUUUCAUGUUUUAUUGUCCUUUCCAGCUAAUGUUAAAAGGUUCUCUGUCCUGAUUUCCUGAAGUUUUCUAAAACAUACUUGUAUUCUAUUUUCUUCAUAUUAAUAUCCUUAGAGUUAACAAAGCCCUGUGCAUAUGGAAUAAAUUUUUCCUAUCUAUUUGGGGAAGCACUAAAUCAUUAUCUCUUGAGUAACUAUAGAAUAACAAUCUGCCUCGUUCUUUUUUCCUUUCUUUGCCUAGAUUUGGAUUUAGGUAUCUGAGUUCCUUUUACCAUAUUCUACAUAACGUUUACAAUUUUGCCACAUUUUUUUACUUUUACACAUCUUUUACUUUUUCCUUGCAUCAAUCUACCUACUGUCUUUUAUACCCACGUAGAAAUUAAUUCUUUCUUUAAAAAUGUCUAUUCUGUUGUUUAAUCUGCCUUGUAUAUAUAAUUGUAUUUAUAUGCCAUUUCCAGAACUCAUAUUUUAUUACUAUAGUUUUAAGCUCUCUACUGAAAUUAAAAAUUUCUCUUUAGUUUCUUACCCAUAUUAAUCAGAGUUAUUGAAAUCUCUGUAUGAUACCAAUAUGUGAAUUUUCUGUGGAUUGCUUACUAUUUUCUGAACUUCUUUGUCUCUGCAUUUUUCAGCCAUUUCUCAUAUUUUAUAUGCCUACCAUUUUUGUUAUAGAACACAGCAUCUGCAUGAAAAAUUAAAAAGGGACUCUUAGAAUUUCUGAAUGAUACCACUUCCCUCCAGAAAGUAUUUAAUUAAUGGCAAACAAUUAGGAGAGGAACUGAUCAUCUUAAUGAGUUAACAUAGCAAUGUUGAACUGAUUCAGAUUCAAGUUUUAUUUAUUAUGCUAUCUGGUCUAUUUCUUAUUUACUUUCACUUCUAAGCAGUGGCCUUUUAGGUAUGUAAAGGGAAAACUUCACAAGUUCACUCUCACUCCAUGAUGGAAUUCAAAUCUGUUGUCUUUCUAGCUUCAUAUGAUUGCUUCUCAGCAUCUUCUCUUCCUUGUGGCAUUCCCCUUAUAUUUUCUCAGGGAACUGCUUUAGAAUUUUAAAGCAUAAAAAGGAUAAAACAGAGUCAAAUAUUUGGCAGUCCUCUGAACCUCCCUUUCCUCUAAAACUUGUUCCUUCAGGCCCCAACCGGUAGCUUUCCAAUGCCUUCAUACAGAGUUUUAAAAAGUUCGUUACCCAAUUCUUCUUCUGUUUCCCAGCAGAAAUAUUCGGCUAAUACAAACCACUCUUCCACAGGUGGAAGCAGAAAUUUUAUCUCAUAUUUUCAUUGGUUAUUUUUUAACCUGAUUUUCACAUUAGAACUAAUCUAUCAACAAAAUAUUGAAGACUUCUAUUGAGAAUUUAAAUUCAUUUCUGAUUUCUGUUUUUAACUUCUUGAUUUUUUACUGGUUUUUUUUUUUUAUCUAUGGAAGCUCCCUUUUUGUUUUUGUCAUAAAUUUUUUGAAAAUUCGAGAUUCUAUACUGUAGAGAGAAUUUUCUUUAUAUUUUGGUCAUACAAAACACUUUUUAAUCAGAAGAAUUAUAUUCUUCAGAUUAAAAUAUAAUUUUAAUUAUUUUUUGCCAUUCAUUUGAUGCAGUUUUUCCUGUUGUCUCUCUUUGAAGUUACAUUAUAUGGAUACAGGUUCAUUCAGGUUGAUUUUUUGCUUCCUACUUCCUUUUGUAUGCUAUUUGUCUAUUUUUAAAAUCUAAUUUUCUGGGAGAUUUUCUUAACUUUAUUUUGUAAGAUUUCCGUUGACCAUUCACUGCUGGUAGCAUAUUUUAUAUUUACAUAGACUCUUUCAGGUUCUCUGAUUUUCAGCAUGAAUGAAUUUUUGCACCAUGGAAGUAAAUAUUUUAUCUUUUUGAGGUUGUUGCUGGUUUUUCAAAAUCAAAUAUUUAUGUCUUAUGUCUUAUGUGACCGUUGAUGUCUCUAAAUGUACUGGCUGCUUUUUUACAUUAAGGACUCUCAUAAGGUAUCACACGAUAUGAUCUUUGGCUGCCUGAUCACACUGAAUGAUCUGACAAUACAAAGAUCUUUGGAAGUUCCCUGAGUAAGACUAGGAAUUUCUGCCUGAAAGUUUCCCUGGAGAGUGAUCUUUAAAUGCUUUUCUCUGCUUGGAAAUCCUUAGGGAAGAUCAGUUCCCUUCCUGCAGAAGUAAUUUUGGUUGAUAUUGUUCUGAGGAUCCCCUGCACUAUAUUUAGUACAUUAUUCUUGUCCUUGGUUGUACUCAGAUUCCCGUUAUGAAGAGAUUCUCUGAUACUUUCCAGAGAUUAAGUCCUCAAUUUUCUGCUAACAAAAUAAUGAGGGAAUCUGGCCAUUAACUAUUUCAAGAGUGUUUCAUGUAAAAUGCUGGUAAACUCAUCUUUACCACCAUUUUUGGAGGUGCUCAAUAGUUUUGAUUUCUGUUGUGAAGAUUUCUUUGUUAUUUUGGUUUUCAUUGUUUUAUUGUCUAUUUUAUUUUAAAAGACAUAUUUCUUCAGCCUCAUGACCAGACUACACAUUUAACAAACAAUAGCAUGAGUACAAAAAGAAAAAGAAAAAGAAAGAAAAAUUUUUUCAAAGUUUCCACAGGAGGAAAACUAAACCUAUCAUAAAAUCAGUCACAAACAUAGGACUUUCCUGACCACACAUGUAAAUAUUGUCUAAACAUGUCUUCAUUGUAACCAUGAGGACCUGUCACCAAAGUGCUUGCCUGAGUUCAUGAAUCAGCUACAGCCUGUAUCUUCCUCUGCUACUUCUCUGGCUCUACUCUCCUAUUAAGCUUUGUUUCUUGGCAAGAAUUAAAACCUUCUUCUCCUGUCUUAACUACUGAUGCUCCUGGAACUGCCUUAGCAACAACAACCAUAGGAACCAGGGCUUCUGUCUUCAAAGUUUCCUCCCUUCUGGGUCUAGAAUUUGAAUACUGAUGAUUGGAACUGCCAAAAUCCUUGUUGCUUCUACCACCAACAAAAUUGCUUACAUCAUUUCCAAUCCAUUGUAGCCAUCUCCACUGCUACCAUGUCUAGCACCACCAUGACUGCCAUUAAAACAACGAUGACCACUGUAGAUUCUGCUAUGACCAAAAUUGUCAUUGCCACCAAAACCACUUCCAUUACCACUAUUAAAGUUUCCAGAACCAUUUUGCUCUCCUUGGCUAUAGAGAAGCACUAGGCAUCUUGUGUUUUCUUAGGGCUUUUCCCACUUCAUGAUGGUGACCAUCCAUACUGUAGUAUUUCUGAAUGACAAUCUUAUCAGUGGAGUCGUUGUCAUCUAAGGUCACAAAAAGAAUCCUUUCUUCUUUCUGCUAGGUCAAUCUUGAUUUUAAUUUUCUCAUCCUGUACUAAAUAAUCUCACAGAUGGUGGUCUUCUGUGUUUUCUUCAGUGAUAUCCACAAAGAUCUAUUUCAUACUUAAAUGGGUACACAAUCUUCGAGAAUUUUCUUUUGAGAUGUUUCUCUUUGGUGCCAUGCCUCUUGCAUUCACCUCAUGUGGUGUGUGCUCAUGACCGCAUCCACUUCCUCCAAAGUGACAAAGUGACAAGCUGAAUGCCCCUGGAGUGCUUAGUAUUCAGAUCUCUCAUCACAAAGCAGUGUUUAUAUGUGUGCGUUGCCCAGAAUGGCUCUUCAAGUUCUCACCACUUUUUCAAGUUCAUCCCUCUGACAAAGCUCUUCCAUAGCUGUGUGAACCCUUUAGAAGACUCUGACUUAGACAUGACAGCAAUGGGAAGAGAGACCAGUGCUGUUUCUCAGUGUGUCCUUAGUGCAUCGCCAAGCAAAAAUGUGAGGUUUUGAAAUAUAAAUUAGCUUGCUGGUGAGAUACUGAAAGCUCUCCCACAGAGUUCAGUUGUUCUUCAUUUGGUUCAUUUCGCCACCACGUGUUCAUCUAACUUCCAACUUCCAGAAUGCACCGCUGUUGUUUCCUGUCUUGUUUUUUGGGUUUGUGCAAAGCUUUCUCCAACCUGUCAUUGUGAUGGAAUUUCAGGAGACUGAAGAUAAAGGCAGGCAUGUUAUAAUUGCGAGCCAUUGUUUACUUUUAAUUGCAAACCAUCUUGUACUGCUUUAUAAUUGCACAUAUUAUUUUUAAUAGCAAAUAUAUUAGAAAGAAAAUAUUUUAAGUGCAAAUGACAAAGUAUGACUAUAAAUUGACUGGCCCAGCGAAUUUGACAGUGAGAGUCAGGGCUUACGUUGGAGUACGUAACUGGCAGUAUAAAACCUGGAAAACUUUCAUGUUGUUUGAUUUCUUUAACUACAAGUAGGUAUUCAUGAUGUAAUUCAAUUAAAAAUAAUAGCAAAAGAAAAAUGCAUACAAGUUUAACAGGUAUAUAUAAAUGUGUACAUUUUGGCAUUAAUAAGGCUAGACUUUCGGUGGAAAUAGAUUAGUAUUACUGAUAAAACAUAUACUUUGAAGUAGAGAAAAAUACACUGAUAUCUGAAGCUCUGAAAUGUGUGCAUACAUUUUGCUAGAGCUAAUAAUCCCCACAGGAAAACCUGUAUGUAUGUAUGAAAUGCCUUUGCGUGAUCCACAUCAAAACACUUUCAACUCAAACAAAAAUCAAGGGGAGUAAAAUUCACCCAGGAUCCAAGCAACGUAAUAUGUGGAUGACUUGAAGACAUUCUAAUAAAUACAAGAAGUUUACACUAUAAAUAUAGUGUCAAUCAAGUAUUAAUUGCAAGACCUCAAAGCUUAUAUAUUAAUAAAGUCCCAGUUAAGAAUGAUUAGGCAGCAUAAUUGUAUUGGCCAUUUUCUUUCUCCUUUUCCAUUUACAGCACUUACUGUGUAUCAACAUAUACCAAAGUGUGGUGGUGCUAAGGUGCUGAGUAGUCAAUGUCUAAUAUAUUGGAUUUCUGCUCUGGAAUUGUUUGUAUUGCUUUGAAUGAACCAGCAGCAUCCCGAAACCCCUAUCCAGUGACAGGAAAUCUUCUGUUAGCCUCUCUGCCUACUAUUUAACUUUUCAUAGAAGACAGUCAAAGGCUGUUUGCAGUUUCGCCAGGUAUAAUCCUUUCUGCCUUAGCUCCACAGCAGUUUACAAGAGAUUGUCAUUUUCCUUACUAUUGUUUUCUUCUUCCCGCGUGUCAAUGAUUUCUGUUCCUGGCUUCUAUUCUUCAAAAGUUCUACCACAUGAGACCUGUAAGACAACACCAAAUCAGUCUAGCAGUGCUGUGCAGGAGGUAUUUAUGCAUCUGAGUGCUACAGUUCCUACAGAGGCUUUCCAAUGUACUCAAGCCCUCUUUGCAAUUGGGCUGCCUCUGAUCUCUCUUUAGGCCUGAUCAAGAUUUAGCUAGUUCACAGUGACUUUACUUUCUAAGGAAAAAGUGUUUUUGAGCAUUCACCAAAUUUUGACACUCUGAAUACAUAUCUUACUUCCUCCUUUCCGUCCUGGGUGGUCAAAAUGGAAAGUGAUGUGGCGCAUAGAGGAAGUAGAGUUGGAUGGUCUGGGAAGGUAGCCCAGCUAUGCUGCUUCCUGGCUGCAUUAUGUUAAGCAAGUCAUUCAGACUCUAGGAGCUUCACAUAUUACAUUCUCCAUUCGUAACCUUUCUUUUUAAAGAGAUGAGUUAAUACAUAAAAAAUGCAACAGUGCUCGCACACAAGCAGCACUAUGUAAAUAUUAACUAGGAUUUAUUCACUCUACAAAGGAGAGAGAAUCAGAGGGAUUUAAGUUGUUCAUGUUUGAAAAGCUAGUAAGCAGCAUAACACCAAUGAAUAGCUUUAUCUUUUUUUUAAGGGUUAUCUAAUUUGGGGGGCUAUCUACAUUAUUACAAACUUUGAUGUUUUAAGCUGGUCUGAUCAAUAGUUCUAAGUCUAAAUCUUCAUGUAUACAAAAUUACUUGACUUCUCACAUAGAAUAAAAGC